CGCGUAGGCGGCCCUGCAAGUCCGAUGUGAAAUCCCUCGGCUCAACCGGGGACCCGGCGUCGGAAACUGCAGGGCUUGAGUGCAGGAGAGGAGAGCGGAAUUCCCAGUGUAGCGGUGAAAUGCGUAGAUAUUGGGAGGAACACCGGUGGCGAAGGCGGCUCUCUGGACUGCUACUGACGCUGAGGCGCGAAAGCUAGGGGAGCAAACGGGAUUAGAUACCCCGGUAGUCCUAGCCGUAAACGUUGGGCACUAGGUGUGGGAGGUAUCGACCCCUUCCGUGCCGCAGCUAACGCAUUAAGUGCCCCGCCUGGGGAGUACGGCCGCAAGGUUGAA
rnacentral:rRNA from 1 species